rnacentral:rRNA from 1 species
UUGUAAACCUCUGUCACUGGGGAAGAAACGCUUCAAGUAAACAUCGUGAAGCCUGACUUAACCCGGAGAGGAAGCAGUGGCUAACUCUGUGC